GAUGAAGAACGUAGCGAAUUGCGAUAAGUAAUGUGAAUUGCAGAAUUCAGUGAAUCAUCGAAUCUUUGAACGCACAUUGCGCCCGCCAGUAUUCUGGCGGGCAUGCCUGUUCGAGCGUCAUUACAACCCUCAGGCCCCCGGGCCUGGCGUUGGGGAUCGGCGGAAGCCCCCUGUGGGCACACGCCGUCCCUCAAAUACAGUGGCGGUCCCGCCGCAGCUUCCAUUGCGUAGUAGCUAACACCUCGCAACUGGAGAGCGGCGCGGCCAUGCCGUAAAACACCCAACUUCUGAAUGUUGACCUCGAAUCAGGUAGGAAUACCCGCUGAACUUAAGCAUAUCAAUAAGCGGAGGA
rnacentral:misc_RNA from 1 species